UAUAUAUAUAUAUAUAUAUAUAUAUAGCCACACACACACCAUAUGUAUAUACAUGUGUAUAUAAGUUCUGUUCUUUGAAGCUAUAUUUGGUUUUACACCCAUUUUUUUUUCCAUGCUGGCAUGGGUUAAACAAUACUUUUUGCACCAGAGCUUCCAUAUCCAGGUGCUCUUUCUGUCACCAACAUUUACCUGUUAGCCGAGAAAGCUAUUUUUCUAUUUUUCUUGUUCUCACCAUCGAAAGCUAAACCCAAUGCAUACGUACAUUCUUACAUACAUACAUACAUACAUACAUACAUACAUACAUACAUACAUACAUACAUACAUACAUACAUACAUACAUACAACACACUCAACAAGUUGAGGCUUUCAGCCAAAGAAAAUGAUGAGCGAACUUUCUAACUUUGUAGGUGAAAACUUGUAAGUGGAACAGUAAAUAUAUGCAAGACUUUUCUAAAGUUCAGCAAGCAAAUAUUCAGUGUUAUUUCUAUCUAAAGGACAUUGAUGGAGCUGUUUGAAACGAACCUGUGCUUUAGAGGAAGAAUUCAAGACAUUAAAAAGAAUAAAAUGAAACAUAGAGAUACUGGUGUAUAUAUAAUAUACAUACAUUCAUAUAUACCAUAAUAUAGUUCUUUAUUUUCUUGCUUUAUAUACAUAUAUAUCUAUAUUUGCGAGAGGGUGUAUAAAUACAAUUAGGUGCAUUGUGUAUAUGACAUAUCUGUGAAUAUGUAUGUUUAUAUGUUAUGUAAGUAUAUAUAUAUAUAUGAAUAAAUAAAUAUAUAUGUGCUUGUGUGCAUGGAUGUGUUGGUGUGUAUGUGUGUGCAUGUGUGUGCAUUUGUGACAUAUGUAAAAAUAGAAGUUAUAUAUGUUUCACUGGGUGGUGUAUAUGUAUGUAUAUAUGUAUAUAUUUUGUAUAUAUAUAUAGAU